rnacentral:rRNA from 1 species
AACGAACGCUGGCGGCAUGCCUAACACAUGCAAGUCGAACGAGAGCCGGCGGGGUCUAGUGGCGCACGGGUGCGGAACGCGGGGGAAUCUGCCCGUAGGUGCGGAAUAACAGGUAGAAAUGACUGCUAAUACCGGAUGAUGACGUUAAGUCCAAAGAGUUAUCGCCUGAGGAUGAGCCCGCGUAGGAUUAGCUAGUUGGUGUGGUAAAGGCGCACCAAGGCGACGAUCCUUAGCUGGGCUGAGAGGAUGAUCCGCCACACUGGGACUGAGACACGGCCCAGACUCCUACGGGAGGCAGCAGUGGCGAAUAUUGGCCUGUGGGCGCGAGCCUGAUCCAGCUCUGCCGCGUGAGUGAUGAAGGCCUUAGGGUUGUACAGCUCUUUUACCCGAGAUGAUAAUGACAGUACCGGCAGAAUAAGCCCCGGCUAACUUCGUG